rnacentral:rRNA from 1 species
UACGUAGGGGGCAAGCGUUGUCCGGAAUCAUUGGGCGUAAAGAGCGUGUAGGCGGCUCGAUAAGUCUGCUGUGAAAGUCCAGGGCUCAACCCUGGAAGGCCGGUGGAAACUGUCGGGCUAGAGUCCGGAAGAGGCGAGUGGAAUUCCCGGUGUAGCGGUGAAAUGCGCAGAUAUCGGGAGGAACACCAGUGGCGAAGGCGGCGUCCUGGACUGGUACUGACGCUCAGGAGCGAAAGCGUGGGGAGCGAUCCGG